UCCCUGGUGGUCCAGUGGUGAGGAAUCUGCCUUGCAAUGCAGGGGACCCAGGUUUGACCCCUGGUUGGGGAA
rnacentral:tRNA from 1 species